rnacentral:rRNA from 1 species
GAUGAACGCUGGCUACAGGCUUAACACAUGCAAGUCGAGGGGAAACGACGGGGAAGCUUGCUUCCCCGGGCGUCGACCGGCGCACGGGUGAGUAACGCGUAUCCAACCUGCCUCUGACUGAGGGAUAACCCGUCGAAAGUCGGCCUAAUACCUCAUGGCAUCGUCUGCGGGCAUCCAACGACGAUUAAAGAUUUCAUCGGUCAGGGAUGGGGAUGCGUCUGAUUAGCUUGUUGGCGGGGUAACGGCCCACCAAGGCUACGAUCAGUAGGGGUUCUGAGAGGAAGGUCCCCGACAUUGGAACUGAGACACGGUCCAAACUCCUACGGGAGGCAGCAGUGAGGAAUAUUGGUCAAUGGGCGGGAGCCUGAACCAGCCAAGUAGCGUGCAGGAUGACGGCCCUAUGGGUUGUAAACUGCUUUUAUGCGGGGAUAAAGUGAGGGACGUGUCCUUCAUUGCAGGUACCGCAUGAAUAAGGACCGGCUAAUUCCGU